GCUACAGGCUUAACACAUGCAAGUCGAGGGGCAGCAUGAUUGAAGCUUGCUUCAAUUGAUGGCGACCGGCGCACGGGUGAGUAACACGUAUCCAACCUGCCGAUAACUCGGGGAUAGCCUUUCGAAAGAAAGAUUAAUACCCGAUAGUAUAGUAUUUCCGCAUGGUUUCACUAUUAAAGAAUUUCGGUUAUCGAUGGGGAUGCGUUCCAUUAGAUAGUUGGCGGGGUAACGGCCCACCAAGUCAACGAUGGAUAGGGGUUCUGAGAGGAAGGUCCCCCACAUUGGAACUGAGACACGGUCCAAACUCCUACGGGAGGCAGCAGUGAGGAAUAUUGGUCAAUGGACGAGAGUCUGAACCAGCCAAGUAGCGUGAAGGAUGACUGCCCUAUGGGUUGUAAACUUCUUUUAUACGGGAAUAAAGUGGAGUAUGCAUACUCCUUUGUAUGUACCGUAUGAAUAAGGAUCGGCUAACUCCGUGCCAGCAGCCGCGGUAAUACGGAGGAUCCGAGCGUUAUCCGGAUUUAUUGGGUUUAAAGGGAGCGUAGGCGGGUGCUUAAGUCAGUUGUGAAAGUUUGCGGCUCAACCGUAAAAUUGCAGUUGAUACUGGGCGCCUUGAGUGCAGCAUAGGUAGGCGGAAUUCGUGGUGUAGCGGUGAAAUGCUUAGAUAUCACGAAGAACUCCGAUU
rnacentral:rRNA from 1 species